AGGGUUAAGCAAAUGAAGAGUAUAGAAGAAUUGAUCUAGAUUAGAAUUGUAUAGCAAAAGUAUGAUGGAGUAUUAGAUGAAGAUUAAGUAAUCUUAUUUACUUAGAGCAUAAAAAUAUGUCAAGUUUCGAAGAUGAAAUCUUUUUAACGGGGGUAAAAUGUAAUAACCUGAUCCAGUGGACAAGUAGCAUGAAUCUUAAAAUGGCCACC
rnacentral:lncRNA from 1 species